rnacentral:rRNA from 1 species
GAUGAACGCUGGCGGCGUGCCUAAUACAUGCAAGUCGAGCGAACAGACGAGGAGCUUGCUCCUCUGACGUUAGCGGCGGACGGGUGAGUAACACGUGUAUAACCUACCUAUAAGACUGGGAUAACUUCGGGAAACCGGAGCUAAUACCGGAUAAUAUAUUGAACCGCAUGGUUCAAUAGUGAAAGACGGUUUUGCUGUCACUUAUAGAUGGAUCCGCGCCGCAUUAGCUAGUUGGUAAGGUAACGGGUUACCAAGGCGACGAUGCGUAGCCGAACGGAGAGGGGGAUCGGCCACCCUGGAACUGAGACACCGACCAGACUCCUACGGGAGGGAGCAGUAGGGAAUCUGCCGCAAUGGGCGAAAGCCUGACGGAGCAACGCCGCGUGAGUGAUGAAAGUCUUCGGAUCGUAAAACUCUGUUAUUAGGGAAGAACAAAUGUGUAAGUAACUAUGCACGUCUUGACGGUACCUAAUCAGAAAGCCACGGCUAACUACGUG